GCGGCAUGCCUUACACAUGCAAGUCGAACGGCAGCACGGAGCUUGCUCUGGUGGCGAGUGGCGAACGGGUGAGUAAUAUAUCGGAACGUACCCUGGAGUGGGGGAUAACGUAGCGAAAGUUACGCUAAUACCGCAUACGAUCUACGGAUGAAAGUGGGGGAUCGCAAGACCUCAUGCUCGUGGAGCGGCCGAUAUCUGAUUAGCUAGUUGGUAGGGUAAAAGCCUACCAAGGCAUCGAUCAGUAGCUGGUCUGAGAGGACGACCAGCCACACUGGAACUGAGACACGGUCCAGACUCCUACGGGAGG
rnacentral:rRNA from 1 species